UUUUGCGAUUGGCCAUCUCUGGCUGAUUCGACAUAUCUGUAGAAUCUCACCGCAGCAGGGUUGUUCUGCGAUGGUCGUUCGAGUUCGGCUGGAUCUCUGCUCAACAUAUGACAAAAGUAUAAGAAUUGAAUUCAAUGAUGAUCGUCGAAACAAUUAAAAUUUUCAACUGGUUAAUACAUCAUAAACAGGCGAAUAUUUUUGUCUGGUCACGUCGAAAUGCGUAAACAGGUUAAUAUGGCCAUGCUGCGUAUAAGGAGAUUUUGAAAGUAGGCAAGCAACAUUCUGCGACGACGGAAGAAGAUAGUACCUACGCCGAAUGCAGAGGUCAACUUUAAUGAUGAUGGCUGUGGUCUUGACUUGGAAUGCCCUUUAUUUACAAAGAGAUCGUUUUACCUACCAACUAAUUGUUUCAAGACACCUUUAGUGAUGUGAUUUGACCGAAUGAUGCGAUGUUACGGUUAUUAUUGGUGACCCUGUCUAUAUACGGAGGCGUGUCAGACAUCGGCUACCGGAAUGGAAUGGAAACUAGACGAAUGAUUCGUGAGUCGUGACGCUAGUUACAUAUCAAGCUGGAAUUUGCGGAAGCAAUUUUUUGAGACCAAUGUACAAAAUUUCAUGGAACUUGGAAUAAAAAUGAAAUUUAUCAGCUUUCGAUUCACGUGUAGAUAGAAGUGUGAUAUCAAGACUUUAAUAAUAGGAUUGCAUUUUUCAACCCAUCAGCAUGGUGUCUACCGGCCGAAAAAAAAUAUGAAAUUCGAAGAUGGGCUUGAAUAGCACAAAGAACCUCCAAAAUUCUUCAAAAUUUGCUAAAUGUUGGAAGUUUGUACGAAAUUUUGAAAGACACCAUGCAUCAGAGUGCCAGUACAUGUGUAGGUACAUGAGGCGACGUAAUGUGUUGAAAAAUCUCUCACGUAACUGGCCAAUUAACCGUGUGUGGGGCAUAGAUGAGAUGUGCAUGCCCUUCCGAAGGCGAUGGAACUGGACUGGAAGUCGUGAAAAUACAUCUCUCUAAAGUGAAGAAUGCAUCAUUUGUUUUCAUAGGUCACGAAAUAAUCAUAAGGUUGAAAUAACAUAGUCCUCGUGGUACAUACGAGUAUACAUAUAAAGCAGAGCAGUAGGUUUGUCGUGUGCGUAUAUUGAGAAGAAGAAGCUUGAAAAUAUUCGAGGUGCUUUUAACUCGUCGUCAGAUCGAGUGGAAAGCAUAUCUUGUUUGCUGGGCAGUACUGCUACUCCUUUGAGGAUAUUCAAGAAACAACGAGCCUGUACAAAAAAUUGAACGUAUAGAAUACGAUUGG